UGGAAUAACAAGUGGAAACACUUGCUAAUACUGGAUGACGUCGGAUCGUCGCCUGACGAACUGACGAAAGGGUUACCGGAUCGGGAGGGUCUCGCGGCCUAUCAGCUCGUUGGUGGGGUAACGGCCCACCAAGGCUUCGACGGGUAGCUGGUCUGAGAGGAUGAUCAGCCACACUGGGACUGAGACACGGCCCAGACUCCUACGGGAGGCAGCAGUGGGGAAUCUUGCACAAUGGGCGAAAGCCUGAUGCAGCAACGCCGCGUGCGGGAAGAAGGCCCUAGGGUUGUAAACCGCUUUCAGCAGGGAAGAAACUGACGGUACCUGUAGAAGAAGGUGCGGCCAACUACGUGCCAGCAGCCGCGGUGACACGUAGGCACCAAGCGUUGUCCGGAUUUAUUGGGCGUAAAGAGCUCGUAGGCGGUUCGGUAAGUCGGGUGUGAAAACUCUGGGCUCAACCCAGAGCCGCCACCCGAUACUGCUGUGACUCGAGUGCGGUAGGGGAGCGGGGAAUUCCUGGUGUAGCGGUGAAAUGCGCAGAUAUCAGGAGGAACACCGGUGGCGAAGGCGGGUCUCUGGGCCGAUACUGACGCUGAGGAGCG
rnacentral:rRNA from 1 species